rnacentral:lncRNA from 1 species
AUGGGAAAGAAAGGCAUAAUCGAGCCAGCACAACAGGGUGCCCAUGGGAGAGACAAUUUGGGUGAAAUGUAGAAGAUGGGGAAUUUUGGCUGAGAAGCACACACCUGAGAGGAGUGGUGUCUUGGAAGAUUCAGAAGUGGGAAGGGUGUAGUGUGGCACUGCCUUCCAAGGGGUUCAAACAGUCUUCAGCAUGGAGCCAAAGUACAUCAUAUACAAGGAUCAGUGUUCAAGAUGGGAUGGCUGUAACAAAAGCAGGAAAAGUCAGACAGCUUGACGCAUUGACUUGAACUCCAUGUUUGAAGAAGGGGUAGUCACAGCCUCCAUGUGGUGUGGCAUUCAUGAUGCAGUGCCCAGAACAGGCUGUCAGCUGGCCACUGCACCCAUUUGACUCUCUGGAUCAUAGCAACUCCGGGGUGAAAGUUGCUUGGAGCUGUGCUUUGGAAAGCCUAUGUGAAUAAAUGUUUCCUGAUUCUAAAGCUCCGCAGUGAACGGAGGACCGUGUCCUUGCAGGGGAACCAGAGAAGGAGCUGCUUUCCCUGCUCAGGACUCUUGUUUGCUAAUACAAGUGUGUAGUGAAAGCAAACAAACCAAGUGCCUGCCAUAUUCGUGAGAAUACCUAAAAGAGUUGUCAGGCUCAGUGGUCACAUCCUGAAGCAUCUUCAACAGGGGUCCUGAUGCCUGGGACUCGCCACCAGAAGGAAAUACAACAGAGGGACUAAUUGAUUCAUUGGAAGGUGUUUCUAACUGUAUUUUCUGAUGAAUUUGUCACCUGGAUGUUUGUGGGAAGGAACCAUUGGAUAGUUGUGGCUGUCACACUGCCGACUGUCUCUCAUUUUGUCACUGUACAGGACAUGAGGUACGUAUAAGACAGCUCAGAGUUCCUGUCCCAUGAGGCUAGUGUGUCUCCUCUGUUACACCUCAGAGUUUCUGCCCCUUGAGUGACAGGUAUGGACAGAAGAUCAAGACCUGCACACACUCCAAAAGUGCUAAUGACACCCGACUCUGGUCUUCGACCUUCAUGUCUGUCUGUAAAGUGAAGCUUGGUGGGACCGUUACUGACCCAUUUUUGCAGAUGAAACUGUGUCUCAGGAAGCUUCAGUGAGUUCACAUCUGGUCACAUGACUUAAAAGAGUGUGACUUUGGGGACCUUCAUUGACUGAUUCUUGACAAACUCAUAGAUGACUCUUAUUGGCUGCCUGCUUUCAGGCUACUUGUCUUUUCUAGCCCAAAGCAGAUGAAUUCUAUCAGAAGGGAAAGGAAAAGGGACUCCCAACCCAGGGCUGACUUGGUGGAGCCAAGUGGCCGCAUACAUUAGCAAGAGAGGAAGUCAUCUUAGCUAAGCCUGCCAUUUGAUGGCUUAUGUCAUUAGCAUCUCACCAUGCCAGUAAGUGAAUUGUUGGAGCCUGAAGUGGGGCCUCCUUCUGAGAGUCUGAGAGCAUUCUGAAUGCUGGCACUCUUGGGGUAUACCACCUCAGCCCCCUGUAACUCUGC